AUGUUACUGUCUCAACUAAUUCCAUCUUGCAAUGGUGACCUGACCGGGGUCCAUACCAGUUGGCAGCAGUACUCGGUUCCUCCUCGCCGGAGGUAUGGUGCUGUCCUCCCAGACUUGGGUACUACUGGAUGCUGUAUGACACAUCGUAGAUUUCAGGGACAGCACGGUCAGGAUUGCCCCACUCACGGAAAGGAAUACAAAGUCCAGACCAGAAAGUCCGAUAAUGGGAACGAAAGAGACAGCAAGGACAGGAAGACAUCAGGGACAGGGCUUAGGUUUGCUUCAUUUGGGGGAUAUUGGUACUUGCACUCCUGCCACUGAGGCUAGCGAUGAAACACGUGCGAGCUGAUUGCCAUGACUGACUCUCUUUAUGAGGCGAGCAUAUGCCCAUGAGUUUUAACAUAUGCCCAAGACUCCCAGAGGCUUUAUUCCUUAAAAAAAAAAAAUUCAUAUUUUUAAACUGGAAGAUCUCAACUAUUUGUUGCUUGAUAGUGUUCACUGAUAUAUAAAAACAAUCACAUUUAAACAGGGGAAAAAUACGAAAUGAAUGAGUGAGGAAAAUAAACAUAUCAAUUAUUAAUUGCUUAUUUCA
rnacentral:lncRNA from 1 species